UGCUCACAUUGACAGCACAUAUACUAAGCUGGAAUGAUACAAAGAUUAGCAUGGCUCUUGCACAAGGACGACAGGCAAAUUCAUGAAGCUUUCCAU
rnacentral:snRNA from 1 species